rnacentral:rRNA from 1 species
GAUGAAUGCUGGCGGCGUGCCUAACACAUGCAAGUCGAGCGGCAGCGAGUUUUACACUGAAUUCUGGAAGCUUCUGAGUAGUACAGAAGAUUUAUUCAAGAGUUUUGUGUAAAAUGUCGGCGAGCGGCGGACGGCUGAGUAACGCGUAGGAAUUUGCCCCAAAGUGAGGAAUAACUGCCCGAAAGGGUAGCUAAUGCCGCAUAUGGUCUUCGGAUUAAAGCCUUCGGGCGCUUUGGGAGAAGCCUGCGUUGGAUUAGGUAGUUGGUAGGGUAAUGGCCUACCAAGCCGACGAUCCAUAGCUGGUCUGAGAGGAUGAUCAGCCAGACUGGAACUGAGACACGGUCCAGACUCCUACGGGAGGCAGCAGUGAGGAAUCUUCCACAAUGGGCGAAAGUCUGAUGGAGCAACGCCGCGUGAAGGAUGAAGGCCUUCGGGUUGUAAACUUCUUUUAUGAGUGAAGAAUAUGACGGUAACUCAUGAAUAAGCACCGGCUAACUACGUG